UGUGACGUAUAGUGUUUUUGUCUAAAGCUACAUUGACUGCGGAUAGCUGGCUAGCUAGAUACAGUUGUUGCAGCAUUCUUGAAAUUAAUAUUUUGUUUCCGCUAGCUUAAGUUAGUAAUUAGAAAAACGAAUGAGCAAUAGCCCACACUAUUGCAGCAAGUCACACGCUACCAUGGAUCACAUUUGGCAUCCUCCAAUGUGACUAGGACGUCUGGACUAGUCUUGUGCCAUUGGAGUUAGCUAGCAAACAAGCUCGCUAGUUGGUCUGCUUGCUAAUGCUAUCUAGCUAGGUGAUAUUGCAGCACGUUGAGAUUCUUGAAACUUGAGGAACUCUUUAAGUACAGUACAAUGGCUCCCAAAGACAUCAUGACCAACUCCCAUGCCAAAUCCAUCCUCAAUGCCAUGAACGCACUUCGUAAGAGCAACACACUCUGUGAUAUCACUUUGAGAGUGGAGAAUACCGACUUUCCUGUACACCGUAUUGUCCUGGCAGCCUGCAGUGACUACUUCUGCGCCAUGUUCACCAGCGAGCUCUCUAAGAAUCCCCAGUUGUCAGAGAAAGGGAAAUCCUUUGUAGACAUCCAGGGGUUGACUGCGUCCACCAUGGAGAUCCUGCUGGACUUUGUUUACACAGAGACUGUUUUGGUCACAGUGGAGAAUGUCCAGGAACUGCUUCCUGCUGCCUGUCUGCUGCAGCUCAAAGGAGUAAAAAGAGCUUGUUGUGACUUUCUGGAUAGUCAGCUUGAUCCCACAAACUGCCUGGGCAUUCGUGACUUUGCGGAGACCCACAAUUGCCUUGACCUGAUGCAGGCCGCUGAACUCUUCUCCCAGAAGCACUUCCCUGAGGUGGUUCAACAUGAGGAGUUUAUGCUGCUCAGCCAGAACGAGGUUGAAAAACUAGUUAAAUGUGAUGAAAUCCAGGUGGACUCAGAGGAGCCUGUAUUCGAGGCAGUGUUGAAUUGGGUUAAACACAAUAGGAAAGAGAGGGAGAUUUAUUUAUCGGAGAUGCUGGAGCAUGUGCGGAUGCCUUUGCUCACUCCGCGCUAUAUCACAGACGUCAUUGACUCAGAGCCCCUUAUUCGAUGCAGUCUUCCCUGCCGAGACCUUGUGGAUGAGGCCAAGAAAUUCCACCUUAGACCAGAGCUGAGGAGUGAGAUGCAGGGGCCACGCACCCAAGCCAGAUUAGGUGCCAAGGAGGUCCUGUUGGUUAUUGGAGGAUUUGGCAGUCAACAAUCCCCUAUAGAUAUCGUUGAGAAGUAUGAUCCUAAAACUCAGGAGUGGAGCUUUUUACCUAACAUUGCUCGGAAAAGGCGUUAUGUAGCUACCGUGUCCCUCAAUGACCGUGUGUAUGUGAUUGGCGGCUACGAUGGUCGAUCGCGGCUUAGCUCGGUGGAGUGCUUGGACUACACGGCAGACGAGGAUGGUGUCUGGUACACCGUCGCCACUAUGAAUGUACGGCGUGGCCUUGCCGGGGCGACAACACUCGGAGAUAUGAUCUAUGUUGCUGGAGGCUUUGACGGUAGCCGCCGUCACACCAGCAUGGAACGAUAUGACCCCAAUAUUGACCAGUGGAGCAUGCUUGGGGACAUGCAGACAGCCAGGGAAGGGGCUGGCCUGGUGGUUGCUAGUGGACUUAUAUACUGUCUUGGUGGGUAUGAUGGAUUGAAUAUCCUCAAUUCAGUGGAGCGGUAUGACCCUCACACAGGUCAUUGGACAAAUGUUACCCCCAUGGCCACCAAACGCUCAGGGGCCGGUGUAGCCUUGCUCAAUGACCACAUCUAUGUGGUGGGAGGCUUCGAUGGAACAGCGCACCUCGACUCGGUGGAGGUUUACAACAUUAGGACUGACUAUUGGACCACGGUAGCCAGCAUGACCACUCCCCGCUGCUACGUAGGAGCUACCGUCCUCCGGGGACGACUCUACGCCAUAGCUGGACAGAUGAGAAACAAUGAGGGAGACAGGUGAAGAGGAGAUUCAGAGUGAAGGGAGGACACAGGGAUUGAACCCCUGUCUCCGGCUAAGCGUUGUACAUGUGCAUAGACCCGGGAGUGUUAUCACUCGACCACGGCUCUGCAACCGACUUCAGUAUUAAGAGAUACUGAAGGGAUCAUUAAUAUACAUUAUGUAUGAUGGAAACUCCCUUCUGAGCAGUAUCGAGUGUUAUGACCCUGUUAUUGAUAGCUGGGAGGUGGUCACCUCAAUGGCCACACAGCGCUGUGAUGCAGGAGUGUGUGUCCUCCGAGAGAAGUGAGAUUUACCUCAGAACAACCUCAAAGGUUGGGUGAAGCAGAGGAGGGCAGUCAUCUAGUCCUGAAUCUGAUAUUUACGCGCCACUACUAUGGAGCAACAGAGGGAUUAUUCACUUGGAGGCCAGUGUGCUAUAUGUCCUCCCGGAAGUCUCUUGAUUCUAUUCAUCAGACUUUCUCAUCUGAGCUUAGUUACUUCUGUGUGAUAAGGGACAGGGGGUGUACAACAGUGAUUAGAGUUGUUUCAGUCUCUUCAUCAACAGUUGUUGCUUCCAAGAAGACAUCCAUCCCAACCCACUCGGUCGCAUGACACACUUUGUGGUAGCUGUUGCCGUGGUUACCAGUGAGAUUUGACUCAUCUUUUAAAGUGCAAUAUAUUUCUCUACUUAUCUUAUGAACCAUUGGAGCAGAAGAAACAAAAGACUCCAGUUUUCUGCUGCUAUAUGCCUUAUGCCCUUGUGGCCCACAUUGAACUGAACAUCCAUGAUGCCUCAUUAGGACUGUGAUUGUUGUCAUGCCAUCAAGUAUGAUGAUUAUUUAGCAUUUGCCAGGUUUUCAGUCAGACAGUAAACCCUUUGUAGAUUUUGUAAUUCUGUAUAAAGCGCUUUUAGAAACAAAUCACUUAUUGAAGAAUUGUCAUUUACCUGACAGUCAUUAUUUUCAAUGUAUCAAAGAUAUUCAAAUGAAUGACAUUUUAGGGAAAGCACCAUAAUUGUAUUGUGGACUGCAGAUGGUUCCUUGCUCUUUUGCUGUUUCUGUCAUCUUGUCAAAAUCUCUGUCCCCUGCAAUUGACUCUGCUAAAGAUGUGCGUAUGGUGCAUGCAUUUGUCCAUAGUGGAUUUGUUUGGACAAGCAAAAUGACUUGACUUCUAUUAUUCGGGGCAAGUACAAAAUCCUGAGGAGUCUUUUGUUGUUACUUGAAAAAGUGAAUAAACAUUGUGAUAAUGUAUGA